rnacentral:misc_RNA from 1 species
GACUGGAAGACUGUGCCAGACAUUUGGAAAUCAUCAGCAGAAAGAUUCGGCGACCGGAUAGCAUUGGUGGAUCCAUAUCACGAGCCACCAUCAAAGUUUACUUAUAAGCAGCUAGAACAAGAAAUUUUGUACUUUUCUGAAGGCAUAAGAGUGGUUGGAGUUGUUCCAGAUGAGAAGCUGGCUCUGUUUGCUGACAACUCAUGCAGAUGGCUGAU